rnacentral:rRNA from 2 species
AUGCUGGAGGUAUCAGAAGUGCGAAUGCUGACAUAAGUAACGAUAAAGCGGGUGAAAAGCCCGCUCGCCGGAAGACCAAGGGUUCCUGUCCAACGUUAAUCGGGGCAGGGUGAGUCGACCCCUAAGGCGAGGCCGAAAGGCGUAGUCGAUGGGAAACAGGUUAAUAUUCCUGUACUUGGUGUUACUGCGAAGGGGGGACGGAGAAGGCUAUGUUGGCCGGGCGACGGUUGUCCCGGUUUAAGCGUGUAGGCUGGUUUUCCAGGCAAAUCCGGAAAAUCAAGGCUGAGGCGUGAUGACGAGGCACUACGGUGCUGAAGCAACAAAUGCCCUGCUUCCAGGAAAAGCCUCUAAGCAUCAGGUAACAUCAAAUCGUACCCCAAACCGACACAGGUGGUCAGGUAGAGAAUACCAAGGCGCUUGAGAGAACUCGGGUGAAGGAACUAGGCAAAAUGGUGCCGUAACUUCGGGAGAAGGCACGCUGAUAUGUAGGUGAAGUCCCUCGCGGAUGGAGCUGAAAUCAGUCGAAGAUACCAGCUGGCUGCAACUGUUUAUUAAAAACACAGCACUGUGCAAACACGAAAGUGGACGUAUACGGUGUGACGCCUGCCCGGUGCCGGAAGGUUAAUUGAUGGGGUUAGCGCAAGCGAAGCUCUUGAUCGAAGCCCCGGUAAACGGCGGCCGUAACUAUAACGGUCCUAAGGUAGCGAAAUUCCUUGUCGGGUAAGUUCCGACCUGCACGAAUGGCGUAAUGAUGGCCAGGCUGUCUCCACCCGAGACUCAGUGAAAUUGAACUCGCUGUGAAGAUGCAGUGUACCCGCGGCAAGACGGAAAGACCCCGUGAACCUUUACUAUAGCUUGACACUGAACAUUGAGCCUUGAUGUGUAGGAUAGGUGGGAGGCUUUGAAGUGUGGACGCCAGUCUGCAUGGAGCCGACCUUGAAAUACCACCCUUUAAUGUUUGAUGUUCUAACGUGGACCCGUAAUCCGGGUUGCGGACAGUGUCUGGUGGGUAGUUUGACUGGGGCGGUCUCCUCCUAAAGAGUAACGGAGGAGCACGAAGGUUGGCUAAUCCUGGUCGGACAUCAGGAGGUUAGUGCAAUGGCAUAAGCCAGCUUGACUGCGAGCGUGACGGCGCGAGCAGGUGCGAAAGCAGGUCAUAGUGAUCCGGUGGUUCUGAAUGGAAGGGCCAUCGCUCAACGGAUAAAAGGUACUCCGGGGAUAACAGGCUGAUACCGCCCAAGAGUUCAUAUCGACGGCGGUGUUUGGCACCUCGAUGUCGGCUCAUCACAUCCUGGGGCUGAAGUAGGUCCCAAGGGUAUGGCUGUUCGCCAUUUAAAGUGGUACGCGAGCUGGGUUUAGAACGUCGUGAGACAGUUCGGUCCCUAUCUGCCGUGGGCGCUGGAGAACUGAGGGGGGCUGCUCCUAGUACGAGAGGACCGGAGUGGACGCAUCACUGGUGUUCGGGUUGUCAUGCCAAUGGCACUGCCCGGUAGCUAAAUGCGGAAGAGAUAAGUGCUGAAAGCAUCUAAGCACGAAACUUGCCCCGAGAUGAGUUCUCCCUGACUCCUUGAGAGUCCUGAAGGAACGUUGAAGACGACGACGUUGAUAGGCCGGGUGUGUAAGCGCAGCGAUGCGUUGAGCUAACCGGUACUAAUGAACCGUGAGGCUUAACCUU